UAUGACCUGCCAGCCUACCUUCUGGGGCUCUGCCUGAUGAACUUGCAUUUUUACUGCAUGGGGCAGAAGCAAAUGGAACACACUCUGUUGUUACCCCCUUGUAAGACCAGACCAUGGGUUCCUAGUCUCAUCUUUGACCACAUCAUCACCACCAUCUAUCAUCACAACCAAUCUCAAUUGGGAAAUGCAGUCAUUUAGGAAAUGUGCAGCUACUUGAAAUUUUUUAGGUACACUUUAGUUUCCCACCUUAGAGAAAGAUGGUGUGGCAUGAGAGAUAUCACAGCUACGCAUGAUUGAAAGCUUUCUCUUGUCUCAACUUGUGAAAAGCCAUAUAACCCAAAUCCAAAGAGACCUAGGCUGAAGUCUGCUGAUGAUGGUUCUCGGAGUGUUGACUCUCUCAAUGAAA